UGCUCAGCAGAUGGGAAUUACCCUUACUCUGACGUUUGCCAUGAAUAAUGUACUUUGCAAGAAAUGAGUUCCUCAAUCUUAUCAGGUUCAUAGAAACAUACACUCUUGUAUGUUUCUGGAAAGAUGGAAUCAGGAAAUAUGAGGACACAGAAGAGAACUGAAUAAAGCCUUCUCAUCAAGCCAUUUGCCAAGACAAAUAAUCAUUCCAUAUUACUGAUGUCUGCAAACAGAAGCAGAAUUUUCCAAACCCAUUUUAUCCUUUAUUCCUGUCCAUUUGAAUCCUGGAAUUAAAAUUACAAAUUUUGGCUCCUUUUUCAUAAACA